rnacentral:rRNA from 1 species
AUUGCACAAUGGGGGAAACCCUGAUGCAGCGACGCCGCGUGGAGGAAGAAGGUCUUCGGAUUGUAAACUCCUGUUGUUGAGGAAGAUAAUGACGGUACUCAACAAGGAAGUGACGGCUAACUACGUGCCAGCAGCCGCGGUAAUA